AUGCUAUACUUGAAAGGUUGAAGAAAUCAAACUUCAACCCUUGGUGCUUAAGAUCCUUUCGCCAAGCAUAUUACACGCGGGAAAACCGCUAAAGGAGAAUAGAUG
rnacentral:ncRNA from 1 species